rnacentral:rRNA from 1 species
GAUAAUACCGGAUAAGUUGGAACAGUUAUGACAGUUUCAGGAAAGGUGCUUAGGCACCGCCAUGAGAUGGGCCCGCGUCCCAUUAGCUAGUUGGUAAGGUAAAGGCUUACCAAGGCGAAGAUGGGUAGCCGGCCUGAGAGGGUGAACGGCCACAUUGGGACUGAGAUACGGCCCAAACUCCUACGGGAGGCAGCAGCUAAGAAUAUUCCGCAAUGGACGAAAGUCUGACGGAGCGACGCCGCGUGGAUGAGGAAGGCCGAAAGGUUGUAAAAUCCUUUUGCCGAUGAAGAAUAAGCGUGGAAGGGAAUGACCAUGUGAUGACGUUAGUCGGCGAAUAAGCCCCGGCUAAUUACGUGCCAGCAGCCGCGGUAACACGUAAGGGGCGAGCGUUGUUCGGAAUUAUUGGGCGUAAAGGGCGCGUAGGCGGCCGUUUAAGUCUGAUGUGAAAUGUCCGGGCCCAACCCGGGAACUGCAUUGGAAAACUGGACGGCUUGAGUCACGGAGGGGGAAUCGGAAUUCCUGGUGUAGGGGUGAAAUCUGUAGAUAU